UUAAAGUCGACCAAAAGAAAA
rnacentral:piRNA from 1 species